GGUCAAGCGAAUAAGCGCACACGGUGGAUGCCUAGGCGGUCAGAGGCGAUGAAGGACGUGGUAGCCUGCGAAAAGUGUCGGGGAGCUGGCAACAAGCUUUGAUCCGGCAAUAUCCGAAUGGGGAAACCCACUGCUUCGGCAGUAUCCUGCAGUGAAUUCAUAGCUGCUGGAAGCGAACCCGGUGAACUGAAAUAUCUAAGUAACCGGAGGAAAAGAAAUCAACCGAGAUUCCCUAAGUAGUGACGAGCGAACGGGGAGCAGCCCUUAAGCUGGAAUGGCUUUAGAAAAACAAUCUGGAAAGAUUGGCCAUAGAAGGUGAUAGCCCUGUAUUUAAAAGGGCCACUCCAGUGAAGACGAGUAGGGCGGGGCACGUGAAACCCUGUCUGAAUAUGGGGGGACCAUCCUCCAAGGCUAAAUACUCCUGACCGACCGAUAGUGAACCAGUACCGUGAGGGAAAGGCGAAAAGAACCCCGGAGAGGGGAGUGAAAUAGAUCCUGAAACCGUGUGCGUACAAGCAGUAGGAGCUCGCAAGAGUGACUGCGUACCUUUUGUAUAAUGGGUCAGCGACUUACUGUUCGUGGCAAGCUUAACCGUAUAGGGGAGGCGAAGGGAAACCGAGUCUGAUAAGGGCGCAUAGUCGCGGGCAGUAGACCCGAAACCGGGUGAUCUAGUCAUGGCCAGGGUGAAGGUGCCGUAACAGGUACUGGAGGCCCGAACCCACGUCUGUUGCAAAAGACGGGGAUGAGCUGUGAUUAGGAGUGAAAAGCUAAUCGAACCCGGAGAUAGCUGGUUCUCCUCGAAAGCUAUUUAGGUAGCGCCUCGGACGAAUACUACUGGGGGUAGAGCACUGUUAUGGCUAGGGGGUCAUCGCGACUUACCAAACCAUUGCAAACUCCGAAUACCAGUACGUACUAUCCGGGAGACACACGGCGGGUGCUAACGUCCGUCGUGAAAAGGGAAACAACCCAGACCCACAGCUAAGGUCCCAAAUUCACUGCUAAGUGGAAAACGAUGUGGAAAGGCAUAGACAGCCAGGAGGUUGGCUUAGAAGCAGCCACCCUUUAAAGAAAGCGUAAUAGCUCACUGGUCGAGUCGGUCUGCGCGGAAGAUUUAACGGGGCUAAGCAGUGAACCGAAGCUUGGGGUGCGUAAAACUUCGGUUUUAUGCGCGGUAGAGGAGCGUUCCGUAAGCCUGCGAAGGUGGAUUGAGAAGUCUGCUGGAGGUAUCGGAAGUGCGAAUGCUGACAUGAGUAACGAUAAUGCGGGUGAAAAGCCCGCACGCCGAAAGCCCAAGGUUUCCUUGCGCAACGUUAAUCGACGCAGGGUUAGUCGGUCCCUAAGGCGAGGGCGAAAGCCGUAGUCGAUGGGAAGCAGGUUAAUAUUCCUGCACCUCGCGUGAGUGCGAUGGAGGGACGGAGAAGGUUAGGUGUACCGGGCGUUGGUUGUCCCGGGGAAAGGCGGUAGGUUUGGAUCUUUGGCAAAUCCGGGAUCCUUUAAGACCGAGCACCGAGACGAGCCUUUAUGGCGAAGUCACUGAUACCACGCUUCCAGGAAAAGCUCCUAAGCUUCAGCUCACGAAGACCGUACCGUAAACCGACACAGGUGGGUAGGAUGAGAAUUCUCAGGCGCUUGAGAGAACUCGGGUGAAGGAACUAGGCAACAUGGCACCGUAACUUCGGGAGAAGGUGCACCCUUUUUGGUGGCUCAUGCGAGCUAUAGCUGAAGAGGGUCGCAGAAACCAGGCCGCUGCGACUGUUUAUCAAAAACACAGCACUCUGCAAACACGAAAGUGGACGUAUAGGGUGUGACGCCUGCCCGGUGCUGGAAGGUUAAUUGAUGGGGUCAGCCGCAAGGCGAAGCUCUUGAUCGAAGCCCCAGUAAACGGCGGCCGUAACUAUAACGGUCCUAAGGUAGCGAAAUUCCUUGUCGGGUAAGUUCCGACCUGCACGAAUGGCGUAACGACAGCGGCGCUGUCUCCACCCGAGACUCAGUGAAAUUGAAAUCGCUGUGAAGAUGCAGCGUUCCCGUGGCAAGACGGAAAGACCCCGUGAACCUUUACUAUAGCUUUACACUGAACGUUGAGUUCGUCUGUGUAGGAUAGGUGGGAGGCUAUGAAACUGUGGCGCUAGCUGCAGUGGAGCCAUCCUUGAAAUACCACCCUGUCGUGCUUGACGUUCUAACCUAGGUCCGUUAUCCGGAUCAGGGACCGUGUAUGGUGGGUAGUUUGACUGGGGCGGUCUCCUCCUAAAGAGUAACGGAGGAGCACGAAGGUACGCUCAGCGCGGUCGGACAUCGCGCACUGUGUGCAAAGGCAUAAGCGUGCUUGACUGCAAGAUCGACGGAUCAAGCAGGUACGAAAGUAGGUCUUAGUGAUCCGGUGGUUCUGUAUGGAAGGGCCAUCGCUCAACGGAUAAAAGGUACUCCGGGGAUAACAGGCUGAUACCGCCCAAGAGUUCAUAUCGACGGCGGUGUUUGGCACCUCGAUGUCGGCUCAUCACAUCCUGGGGCUGUAGUCGGUCCCAAGGGUAUGGCUGUUCGCCAUUUAAAGUGGUACGCGAGCUGGGUUCAGAACGUCGUGAGACAGUUCGGUCCCUAUCUGCCAUGGGCGUUGGAAGUUUGAGAGGGGCUGCUCCUAGUACGAGAGGACCGGAGUGGACGAACCUCUGGUGUUCCGGUUGUCACGCCAGUGGCAUUGCCGGGUAGCUAUGUUCGGAAGCGAUAACCGCUGAAAGCAUCUAAGCGGGAAGCGCGCCUCAAGAUGAGACUUCCCGGGGCACAAGCCCCCUAAAGGAACCAUGUAGACUACGUGGUUGAUAGGUCAGGUGUGUAAGUACAGCAAUGUAUUGAGCUAACUGAUACUAAUGAUCCGUGCGGCUUGACCAU
rnacentral:rRNA from 1 species